GGGUGAGUAAUGUAUCGGAACGUGCCCAGUCGUGGGGGAUAACUAUCCGAAAGGAUAGCUAAUACCGCAUACGACCUGAGGGUGAAAGCGGGGGACCUGCAAAGGCCUCGCGCGAUUGGAGCGGCCGAUAUCGGAUUAGCUAGUUGGUGGGGUAAAGGCUCACCAAGGCGACGAUCCGUAGCGGGUCUGAGAGGACGACCCGCUACACUGGAACUGAGACACGGUCCAGACUCCUACGGGAGGCAGCAGUGGGGAAUUUUGGACAAUGGGCGCAAGCCUGAUCCAGCCAUUCCGCGUGAGUGAAGAAGGCCUUCGGGAUGUAAAGCUCUUUCAGCGGGAACGAAACGGUCGAUCCUAAUACGGUCGGCUAAUGACGGUACCUGCAGAAGAAGCACCGGCUAACUACGUGCCAGCAGCCGCGGUAAUACGUAGGGUGCGAGCGUUAAUCGGAAUUACUGGGCGUAAAGCGUGCGCAGGCGGUGACAUAAGACAGAUGUGAAAUCCCCGGGCUCAACCUGGGAACUGCGUUUGUGACUGUGUCGCUCGAGUGUAGCAGAGGGGGGUGGAAUUCCACGUGUAGCAGUGAAAUGCGUAGAGAUGUGGAGGAACACCGAUGGCGAAGGCAGCCCCCUGGGUUAACACUGACGCUCAUGCACGAAAGCGUGGGGAGCAAACAGGAUUAGAUACCCUGGUAGUCCACGCCCUAAACGAUGCCAACUAGGUGUUGGGGAAGGAGACUUCCUUAGUGCCGUAGCUAACGCGUGAAGUUGGCCGCCUGGGGAGUACGGUCGCAAGAUUAAAACUCAAAGGAAUUGACGGGGACCCGCACAAGCGGUGGAUGAUGUGGAUUAAUUCGAUGCAACGCGAAAA
rnacentral:rRNA from 1 species